rnacentral:lncRNA from 1 species
UGGUCCGAUCUCGAAGUUUCUUGCCCACAAAAGCCGAACGGUGACGCCCCAGACUCGGUUUCUUGGUUCCGUCCCAAAACGCCAAAGAAAGGCACAAUGGCCUAGAAAGGGACGAUCGGACUUGGAACGGGGUCCGAGGCCUCGAAAGUCCACAUCUAGCUACUGGGUGGUCCGAUGUCGAAGUUUCUUGCCCACAAAAUCCGAACGGUGACGCCCCAGACUCGGUUUCUUGGUUCCAUCCAAAAACGCCGAAGAAAGGCACAAUGGCCUAGAAAGGGACGAACUGACUUGGAACGAGGUUCGAGGCCUCGAAAGUCGACAUCUAGCUACUGGGUGGUCCGAUCUCGAAGUUUCUUGCCCACAAAAACCGAACGGUAACGCCUAGACUCGGUUUCUUGGUUCCGUCCCAAAACGCCGAAGAAAUGCACAAUGGCCUAGGAAGGGACGACCGGACUUGGAACGGGUCCGAGGCCUCGAAAGUCCACAUCUAGCUACUGGGUGGUCCGGUCUCGAAGUUUCUUGCCCACAAAAGCCGAACGGUGACGUCCCAGACUCGGUUCCUUCGUUCCGUGCCAGAACGCUGAAGAAAGACACAGUGGCCUAGAAAGGGACGACCGAACUUGGAACGGGGUCCAAGGCGUCAAAAGUCCACAUCUAGCUACUGGGUGGUCCGAUCUCGAAGUUUCUUGCCCACAAAAGCCGAACGGUGACGCCCUAGACUCGGUUCCUUGGUUCCGUCCCAAAACGCCGAAGAAAGGCACAAUGGCCUAGAAAGGGACGAUCGGACUUGGAACGGGGUCCGAGGCCUCGAAAGUCCACAUCUAGCUACUGGGUGGUCCGAUGUCGAAGUUUCUUGCCCACAAAACCCGAACGGUGACGCCCCAGACUCGGUUUCUUGGUUCCGUCCCAAAACGCAGAAGAAAGGCACAAUGGCCUAGAAAGGGACGACCGGACUUGGAACGGGGUCCGAGGCCUCGAAAGUCCACAUCUAGCUACUGGGUGGUCCGAUCUCGAAGUUUCUUGCCCACAAAAGCCGAACGGUGACGCCCCAGACUGGGUUUCUUCGUUUCGU